UACGGAGGGAGCUAGCGUUGUUCGGAAUUACUGGGCGUAAAGCGUGCGCAGGCGGCUUUGCAAGACAGAUGUGAAAUCCCCGGGCUCAACCUGGGAACUGCAUUUGUGACUGCAAGGCUAGAGUACGGCAGAGGGGGAUGGAAUUCCGCGUGUAGCAGUGAAAUGCGUAGAUAUGCGGAGGAACACCAAUGGCGAAGGCAAUCCCCUGGGCCUGUACUGACGCUCAUGUACGAAAGCGUGGGGAGCAAACAGG
rnacentral:rRNA from 1 species